rfam:Myotis lucifugus cont2.2507, whole genome shotgun sequence.
GAGAUACCCUUAUGGGGCAGGACUUGCUUCAGUGGGGCUUUGGUGCUCACUGAGUCUGCCUCUUGAGUGUGUGUCUCU